CAGCCGCCGCGGGAACACGUAGGUCCCGAGCGUUGUCCGGAUUUACUGGGCGUAAAGGGCGCGUAGGCGGACUGAUAAGUCAGGGGUGAGAUCCCAAGGCUCAACCUUGGAACUGCCUUUGAUACUGUUUGUCUUGAGUUCGAGAGAGGUAAGUGGAACUGCGAGUGUAGAGGUGAAAUCCGUAGAUAUUCGCAAGAACACCAGUGGCGAAGGCGGCUUACUGGCUCGAAACUGACGCUGAGGCGCGAAAGCGUGGGGAGCAAACAGGAUUAGAUACCCGGGUAGUCCCUGUCUCUUAUAC
rnacentral:rRNA from 1 species